CAAGGAAGUUUAAGGCAAUAACAGGUCUGUGAUGCCCUUAGAUGUCCUGGGCUGCACGCGCGCUACACUGAUGCGUUCAUCGAGUUUAUCCUUGGCCGAGAGGUCUGGGUAAUCUUUAGUACGCAUCGUGAUGGGGAUCGAUUAUUGCAAUUAUUAAUCGUGAACGAGGAAUGCCUAGUAUGCGCAAGUCAUCAGCUUGUGCAGAUUACGUCCCUG
rnacentral:rRNA from 1 species